GCGGCGGUAGUCUAGCCUGGUUUAGGAUGGCGGCCUGCCAAGCCGUUGAUCCCGGGUUCAAAUCCCGGCCGCCGCA
rnacentral:tRNA from 4 species